rnacentral:tRNA from 1 species
UCCCUGGUUGUCCAGUGGUUAGGGCUCUACAUUUCCCCUGCAGCAGACACAGGUUCGAUUCCUGGUCUGGGAA